GCCCUCGUAGAUCAACGGUAGAUCUCCUCCUCACCAUGAAAAGGACUUCGUAAACCUUUGUGGAGGCAACGUGGGUUCGACUCCCCCCAAGGGCA